UGGGGAAUCUUGGACAAUGGGGGAAACCCUGAUCCAGCGACGCCGCGUGGAUGAAGAAGGCCUUAGGGUUGUAAAGUCCUUUCACCGGGGAGGAUGAUGACGUUACCCGGAGAAGAAGCACCGGCUAACUCCGUGCCAGCAGCCGCGGUAAGACGGAGGGUGCUAGCGUUGUUCGGAAUCACUGGGCGUAAAGGGCGCGUAGGCGGCUUGGUUAGUCAGAUGUGAAACCCCAGGGCUCAACUCUGGAACAGCAUUUGAUACUCCCAAGCUUGAGGACGAAAGAGGAGAGUGGAAUACCCAGUGGAGAGGUGAAAUUCGUAGAUAUUGUGUGGAACACCAGUGGCGAAAGUGUCUCUCUGGUUCGAUUCUGACGCUGAGGCGCGAAAGCGUGGGGAGCAAACAGGAUUAGAUACCCGUGUAGUCC
rnacentral:rRNA from 1 species